GGAAAGCACCCAGACUGUCCAAGCCGGACUAGGGGACGCCGAAGAAGGCCCAGAAAACCUGGCUGGCAGGGCGUGUCCUCCCCACGCUGGACCCGCAGAAACCGCCCCAGCGAGUGAAGGAAGCACGAGUGCGGGAGGCCUACAUGGCCUGAGGCAAGGAGGACGUCGGGACAGAAGGUAAACCGGCAGGGGAACUUCGGCCGAGAGCAGAAAGAGGACAGCCACCUGAAGUAUUGUUGGGCCCAGGUGCACAAGAUCGAGGGGGUUGACCAGAGCCCGAACCAGAGACUCCCCUCCUCCUACUUUCUGGUCAAAGGAGGCCUUCUGUACCACCGGACCAACCGCAGAGGGGAAAACGUGGACCUCUUGGUCGUCCCCAAAGCCAGAACGCAGGCACUGAUGCACCUGGCUCAUGCCCAUCCGCUCGGGGGCCAUCCUGGAGAAGCUGAAAGACCGCUUUGUCUGGCCAGGCAUGGACGCAGAGGUCCGGGGCUUCUGCCAACAAUCACCCCAGUGCCAACGCAUGGCCCCGAGGAAGCCCCCACCGGCACCCCUCAUUCCGCUUCCCAUCAUAGGCGUCCCCUUCGAGAGGAUCGGCAUGGACCUCGUCGGGCCGCUCCCAAAAUCCGCCUGAGGUCACAAGUAUAUAUUGGUAAUCAUGGACUACGCCACCAGGUACCCCUAGGCAGUACCACUACGUAAAGCCACCUCCCGGAACAUCGCUAAUGAAAUAGUGCUCCUGUUCAGCCGUGUGGGGAUCCCAAAAGACAUUUUAACCGACUAAGGUACCCCGUUUGUGUCAAAGCUAAUGUCUGUGUCGGCUGUUGCAAGUGAAACACCUAAAGGCAUCAGUCUACCACCCACAAACAGAUGGGCUGGUCGAACGGUUCAACCGGACCUUGAAGCAGAUGUUGCGCUGCGUGAUACACGAGGAAGGGAUGAACUGGGAUCUCCUCCUACUGUACGUCCUCUUUGCCAUCCGAGAGUGCCCCCAGGCAUCCACGGGCUUCACACCCUUUGAGCUCCUCUUUGGAUGGCGACCUCAUGGACUGCUGGACGUGGCACAGGAAGCAUGGGAAGAACAGCCUUCCUCAUUCCGCUCGGUCAUCGAGUAUGUACAGGAGAUGCAGGAGAAGAUCAACCUAGUGGCCCCUUUCAUCCAAGAACAUAUGAGAGCCUCCCAGGAGGAACAGAAACGAGUGUACAACCGUCCAGCGCAAUCCCACGAGUUCCAACCUGGCGAUCGGGUAAUCCUGAUAGUACCAGCAGCUCCUGUAAAUUCCUAGCUCGGUGGCAGGGCCCAUAUACCGUCCUCGAGAAGAGAGGCCCUAUCGUGUCCUGGAGGCCCGCCAUAAGGCUAUCGAGGAGGAGGUCAGCCGGAUGCUGCGGGACAACAUCAUAGAGGAGUCCAACAGCCCCUGGUCCAGCCCUAUCAUAGUUGUACCAAACCCCAACAGAAGUAUGCACCUCUGCAACAACUUCCGGAAGCUAAACCAGAUCUCGGAGUUUGACAGCUAUCCCCUCCCCCGGGUGGACGACCUAGUGGAGCGAUUGGGGAGGGCCCGGUUAAUCUCCACCCUGGACCUAACAAAGGGAUACUGACAAGUGGCGCUGGCCCCAGAGGCGAGACCAAAGAUGGCCUUCAGCACGGCGAACGGCCACUGGCAGUACCGGGUUCUCCCCUUCGGGCUACAUGGAGCACCUGUGACGUUCCAGCAGCUGAUGGACAUUGUCCUGCAAAUUAUUGUGCCUUCGAAGCCGCCUACCUGGACGAUGUGGUCAUCGUUGUGCCUAACUUCUCCUCAAUAGCUUCCCCCCUCUCAGAUCUCACAAAGAAGGGCCAGCCGGACCGGGUGAAGUGGUCUGCAGACGCGGAGCGGGCAUUCCAAGCCCUGAAGGAAGCCCUCACCAGCACCCCUGUGCUACAUAACCCAGACGUCACCCUACCGUUCACCGUGUACACAGAUGCAUCCGAGACUGGGCUGGGCGCUGUUCUCUCACAGACCUUUGAUGGGGAGGAGCACCCGGUCCUCUACAUUAGCCGAAAGUUGUUCCCAGCUGAGAGGUGGUAUUUGGCUGUGGAGAGAGAGGCCCUAGCGAUAAAGUGGGCCAUCGAGGAGCGACGGUACUUCCUGACCCGGCGGCACUUUGUCCUGGUGACAGACCACGCCCCACUCCAACGGAUGGCCAAGGCCAAGGACAAUAACGCCCGGGUAACUCGAUGGUUCCUAUCCCUACAGGAUUUCUCUUUCCAGGUCCAGCACCGGGCAGGGACACAACAUGGGAAUGCAGAUGGCCUCUCAUGACGGGACGCCCUGUGGGCCCGACACACGACGACAGUAGGCUCGGAGUUGAGGGGGGUUACUGUGGCAACAGGCCCGCAGUUGACGCACAAGAAACAAAGAUCGCUCCUUCCGCGACUGCUACUGUGGUGCUGAAGAGACGGCUCCACUCCAUUUCAAUGUUUUGGGCAGCUGGAGAGCGGCUGCUGAAUGGCGCACGGCACGGAAAAAUUCCACCAUCCAGCAGCCAACGGGAGAGUAUAAAAGGGGCGAUACUCCGCUCGCAAGGGAGAGGGGGCUCUCAGUGUGUAUGCGCUAACCUUUGCUGUGUGUUUUACAGACAAUCCCGACGCGAGCAAAGACUCCGCCCCCCGACUGCACCCGCGACUUUUCCUGAUGGGAAAACGGGAUCCCCGUUACUCGAGAAACCCCCAGCACGCCCUCAGCAACCCCGCGGCGAUGAAACACUUCACCUCACAUCCCCACUUCGACACACACGCGCACCCACACCUUCUCACGAACCCAUUUUUGAAUAAAGAUUUCUCCACGAGAGACACUGAUAUGGCCUCCUGUGUGUCUGUGCUCUGUCCCCCACUGGCUAAAUUCCCUACACCUGGUAAUGUUGAAACUUAGAGGUGACUUAAAUGUGAUGUGCUAAGAGUAAAAAAAAAAUUAUGCUUCAAUUAUAUAUUAUUACAUAGAGUAUAAAGAUUACAGUCCCCUCCGAAAAUAUCGGAACGGCAAGGGCAAUUCUAUUGUUUUUGCUAGAAAAUAAACACAUUUGGGUUUGAGUUCAAAAGAUGAAUAUGAGAUGAUAGGUCAUUUUGAAUUUCAGAUUUCACUUCCUGGUCUCUGGACUUCAUGUUAAUUUAAUAAUCAUUUUUAACAACAAAUGCAGUCUUCACAGGAAAAACCCCAGGACUCAAGUGAAGAACAGAUAUUCAGAGCUAUUAACUGCUUAUAAACACACACACACACCUUUAAAUCUGAAUUAUCCAUAUCCUAUAUGGGAGAAUUUCAGACUUUGUGAAAUACAAACAAACUAUAUAAACUAUAGUCCUUUAAUUUA
ensembl:lncRNA